GUAUUGAUUGCGGGUUAGCGCAUAAAUGAGGUCAUUCUACACUUUUUAAAAGGGGUGUUUGUGUGAAAACGCGAGCCUCCUCCGAGAUGAUCCCAAAGGGUGCCCACGCGGUGAUGCACAAAGGGGUGAGAUGGAUUUUGUGCGAGAGCGCUCGGGCGUGCACGACCUUUGAAGGUCAGCGACAGCCCUCGCACCUCGGUUGUACGAUAAUGAUCCUUCCGCAGGUUCACCUACGGAAA
rnacentral:misc_RNA from 1 species